rnacentral:rRNA from 1 species
CCUACGGGUGGCUGCAGUGAGGAAUAUUGGUCAAUGGUCGGGAGACUGAACCAGCCAAGCCGCGUGCGGGAUGAAGGUACAGAGUAUCGUAAACCUCUUUUGUCAGGGAACAAAGGCGGGGACGCGUCCCCGGAUGAGAGUACCUGAAGAAAAAGCAUCGGCUAACUCCGUGCCAGCAGCCGCGGUAAUACGGAGGAUGCGAGCGUUAUCCGGAUUUAUUGGGUUUAAAGGGUGCGGAGGCGGUCUGUUAAGUUAGGGGUGAAAGCCCGGGGCUCAACCCCGGCCCCGCCGUUGAAACUGGCAGUCUCGAGAUGGAGAGAAGUAUGCGGAAUGCGCGGUGUAGCGGUGAAAUGCAUAGAGAUCGCGCAGAACUCCGAUUGCGAAGGCAGCAUGCCAGCUCCACACUGACGCUGAGGCACGAAAGCGUGGGUAUCGAACAGGAUUAGAUACCCGAGUAGUC